ensembl:lncRNA
GGAAAGGAAAAGAUCCAAUCAUUGAUUCACUGAUCUCCCACAUUGCAACACUGCAUUUGUGCAUCUACAGACAGUAUACGUGAGCAGCUCCUCUCCUCUCCUCUUAACAUCAUACGGACUUUUGUUUUCAAAUGAGAACUGACCCAAAGCAAAGCUGCUUACUUCUGGGGCUGGAAGCUUCAUGUGAACUCUCGUGUUUCUUAGAUUAGGUCAUGAAAAAGGGCACAACUUUGCAGCCUUGCAAGAGAAAGUCAAGACAACUGGAGAUGGAUACCAUAAUUCAGGAAAACAACAUGAUGGAAAACCUGGUGAUAGGAUUACUAUCAGCUCUCACUUCACAGCCUCAAAAGUAUCAUCAUGUUACAAAACACCCAGUCGUGCUAUAUUAUGCACUGAUUAUCUGGAUAUGGGAAGAAAAUAUAUAAGUACCAUCCCUCAAAAUUGAUUGUAACUACAGAAACAACUAUAGAACAAAAAAUGACAAAAAUACUCUCAGUAAUACAAGCAUUUGUGACUAAUAUUCACAGUGAAUAUUUAUUUUCACAUACGAAUCUUAUCACUGCUACAUUUGCUGUAUUUGUCAUUAUUGAUAGAGCUGUCUGCUAUUUAUUCUGGAGAUGUAGUUAACCAUUUUUCCUUCCACAUUUUUGGGGCGGUAUUGGAAGUAUUAGCUUUAUUUCUCCCCUUCCUCUCCAGUCCUUUUUAGGAAGUAGCACAUCCCAUCAGAUGUUUAGCAGUCAUCACCAAGAUGCAUUAGUUUUAUGAUAUCUUACAUACUUACUUAUAUUUGAGUUAUCAGGAGAAGGAAAAACAGAAGGGGAAAAAUAAACGAACAAGCAAACAAAACAAGAAAAGCCUUUCAUCUUGAAAGGAAAACAGCUUGGGAGUGGGCCAAGGUGCCUACCCACCCACUACUCUGUCCUGCUAGCAGACAAGCUAUAGAGUCCUGUAGUGAGAGCGCUACUUGAAGCUUUAUUGCCACAGAAGAAGUUCAAAUACUCUCCCAUUGCCAUCACUAUCACCAGAGUUUGCUGGUACGCAUUCAUGGUAAAUUAGCUAUUCUCAUCUUUGCUGAAGAUAUAGGAAUAGCGCUGUUUAAGUGAGCUUUCCAUUGUGCCAGGGAAACAAUACAUCCCAAACUAAAAAAUGGCUAUGCAGCUCAGGUGCAUUGUUAGGAA